AGAGUUUGAUCCUGGCUCAGGAUGAACGCUAGCGACAGGCUUAACACAUGCAAGUCGAGGGGCAGCGGGGUAGUGCUUGCACUACUGCCGGCGACCGGCGCACGGGUGAGUAACACGUAUGGAACCUGCCCGCAGCAGGGGGAUAAGCGGAAGAAAUUCCGUCUAAUACCGCGUAAGAACGUUGGGAGGCAUCUCCCGAUGUUUAAAGAUUUAUCGGCUGCGGAUGGCCAUGCGGCGCAUUAGCUAGUCGGCGGGGUAACGGCCCACCGAGGCGACGAUGCGUUGGGGUUCUGAGAGGAAGGUCCCCCACACUGGUACUGAGACACGGACCAGACUCCUACGGGAGGCAGCAGUGAGGAAUAUUGGUCAAUGGCCGAGAGGCUGAACCAGCCAAGUCGCGUGAGGGAAGACGGCCCUACGGGUUGUAAACCUCUUUUGUCGGGGAGCAAAGCGAACCACGUGUGGUUCAUUGAGAGUACCCGAAGAAAAAGCAUCGGCUAACUCCGUGCCAGCAGCCGCGGUAAUGCGGAGGAUGCGAGCGUUAUCCGGAUUUAUUGGGUUUAAAGGGUGCGCAGGCGGAGGUGCAAGUCAGCGGUCAAAUUGCGGGGCUCAACCCCGUACUGCCGUUGAAACUGCAUCCCUUGAGUGCGCGAGAAGUAUGCGGAAUGCGUGGUGUAGCGGUGAAAUGCAUAGAUAUCACGCAGAACUCCGAUUGCGAAGGCAGCAUGCCGGCUCCACACUGACGCUGAGGCCCGAAAGCGUGGGUAUCGAACAAAAUUAGAUACCCUGGUAGUCCACGCAGUAAACGAUGAAUGCUGGCUGUCCGGGGGGAUUGACCCCUGGGUGGCGAAGCGAAAGCGAUAAGCAUUCCACCUGGGGAGUACGCCGGCAACGGUGAAACUCAAAGGAAUUGACGGGGGCCCGCACAAGCGGAGGAACAUGUGGUUUAAUUCGAUGAUACGCGAGGAACCUUACCCGGGCUCAAACGGGGAGUGACUCAGGCAGAGACGCCUGUUUCCCACGGGACACUCCCCGAGGUGCUGCAUGGUUGUCGUCAGCUCGUGCCGUGAGGUGUCGGCUUAAGUGCCAUAACGAGCGCAACCCCCGCGUGCAGUUGCUAACAGAUAACGCUGAGGACUCUGCACGGACUGCCGGCGCAAGCCGCGAGGAAGGCGGGGAUGACGUCAAAUCAGCACGGCCCUUACGUCCGGGGCGACACACGUGUUACAAUGGGUGGUACAGCGGGAAGCCAGGCGGCGACGCCGAGCGGAACCCGAAAUCCACUCUCAGUUCGGGUCGGAGUCUGCAACCCGACUCCGUGAAGCUGGAUUCGCUAGUAAUCGCGCAUCAGCCAUGGCGCGGUGAAUACGUUCCCGGGCCUUGCACUCACCGCCCGUCA
rnacentral:rRNA from 1 species